UGGUGAGGGUAAUCGUUAGGUAUUCAAAGUUCGCUUGCUGCUCCUAUUGAUUGCAUAGUCGACAUAAGUUACCAAAACCUUGACAAACAUCAACGAUCGGCAAGAAAUUAUUUUAGCUUUUAUAUUUUCAAUUAUCCAUAACUUUGAAAUUAUUGAUCUUAUGGAAAAAAAAUCGAUUUUAAAAGUCAACGAAGGAAAUCAAAAUGUCAAAUAUUAUUUUACUGUUAUCAAUAUUUACGUUAUCGAUUGGGCUUGUGGUAAAUCAAGAGAUUGACAAAACUUGUUGGUAUCAUGCAUGUUUUGGCGACAGUGAGUGCUGUGGAGGAUUCUACUGCUCUUUUGGUGCCUACGAGGGGACUUGUUUGCCAAAAUAAACAAUUGGUGGAAUUUUCAAUUCGAGGUUUCAAUAAUUUAAUUUCAACAUCUAUUAAAUUAUUUCUCCAAGUAAAAUUAUGUAAGACGCAUAAAGAAAUGAAUAAAUAGUAAUGCGCUAUCAAAAUAAAAACGGU